GUUUCUAUGGUACAAUGGACAGUACGCUGGACUCCGAAUCCAGUGGUCCGAGAUCAAACAAUUUUUUCGGGGAAACC